GAGGGCAAGCAGAAAUGUCAGAACACUGCUCUGUAGCAGCACUGCUCACCCCCGUACUUCUGCUCGGAUAUGACUGGACACUGAGCCCUGGAGAGGUCCCAUCAGCGGAAGAGGUCUGGGCAGUGCACCCCAUCCAAGGAGGUGACGCUCGGGAUGCCCUUUCUAUCCCCUCCCAAAGCAGCUGAGGAGCUCUUAUUACAGAACAGACAACACCAGCAGGUUGUGCUCGUCAGUGCUUGCUAAUGAAACUGGAAUCAGGCUGGACUUCCCAGGAAGAGCUGCUGUGCUGGUGAGGCUGCACUUGGGAGCCAGUUGCCGCUUCAGUUCUUCAAUCUGCUGGGUGAAAGCCUGCUUCCCUCUAGACAGCUGGGAAAUUAAGACUCUGCACUCUUCAGCAAGGGCUUGAUCUUGAAGAACAGCUUCAUCCAUGGCCAGUGUUUGACAUUCAUGAAUGCACGGAUGUUGUACUGGAUGCAGAAGAUGGAUUCCCUGAAAGAUAAGUCAAAUUAAUAUUCAAUAUUUAUACCAUGAUGACACAGUAAUAAGCCAAGUACAGUGAACCUAAUUUGAAGAGAAGUCUACCUCCUCUCCACCAUUCUCUGGUACUCCACUCUCAUCAGGAAGCCCCUGCACCUGGCCUGGGUGCGGGUGAUGAGCUGUGCCAGCUUCUCGUCCCUCAUCUCUUCCAAGAGUCCCACCAGCCCAGCUUUGAAGAACACCUUAGGACUCUGUUGGGAAAUCCUUUCCUGCAAAUCCUGAUCCCUUCCAGCACGCCGUUACAGCGCAGCUGAUGCAGCACCAGCUCGUGCUCCAUGGCACCUGGCAAUGCAGAGCACAAAUACAUGCCAUGUUCUGGAAUACAGUGGGGAAGAGCUGCACCAUGCUGAAAACCUUCAAU